AGAGAAAAUGAAGAGUGGAAAAACAAAGGGGGGGGUGAAAAAAUCGAGAAGGUUAGAACGAGAAAGACAAGGUGGAGGAGAGAACGCCAAGGCAGGAGAACGGGAGGAUGUCCUCGAGACGAUUCGGCAGCAGGUCGGAGGAGGAGGAGGAGGAGGAGGAGAUGCAUGAAUGUGCUUCUUUCCGUUGGCCCGGCAGAGAAUUCAAGAAGAGCAGAAAGGAAAAAAGCAGACUGGGAGGGGCACAAGAUGAAGGAAUGGGGCAAAUUGGUGUCAGCUCAGCUGAUUUUUGUAUUCGCGCGUGAGGAGGUAAAGGAGGAGAGGGCGAGAAGGAAGGCAUGCGGCAUAAAGGCCGGGAGUGGGUGAGAAUGAAAAGGAGCUGUCAUUUCUCACCCAGCUUAAGAAAAUGAUCUUACCGGGGCCCUAAUGCAAGAAACAAUUUGUGUGAUUUGAGGUAGAAGCAAAUUUGCUUUAUCGGGCUAUUUUUGGCAAGCGAAGAACCGAAACGCAUCAUCAAAGGGAAGCUGCAGCCAAACAUGAAGUCAAAAUGGCUUUAAUCAUCAAUACUGUGUUUUUGCUGCAUGCCUGCUGGUGAUUUAGCUUCACAGGAUUCCUGUUGCUUCUAUCAAGAGUCUGAGGCAAUUAGAACUUCGUCAGCUUCAGCGUCACAAAGCCGCUGUAUGGUUGUUGCAAGGUUACUUGAAAGGUCAAUGUUCUUCAUUUGUCAUUGUUCUCUUUAACAAGAUGUGCUGGAUUUAUUUUAACAUCACACCAAACUGGUGACACGUUUCAUUAGUAUUCACAUGUUGCGCAGUGAAUACACAUACUUUGUGCCGCACAGUCAUGGAUAUUUGUGUGUUUUGUGUGAUAUAAAUGUUUAGUAAUAUUUUAGCAAUGAAUUAAUUACUCUCCCUCCAUAGGUUUCAUAAUAAAACAUGAUUAUACCCCAAAA